GGCCCGAGUAUUGCUGUAGCCCUGUCACAGGCAUCCAACGGCGGUUGCCACCGAUACGACAAAGGCGUCGC
rfam:Pseudomonas alcaligenes NBRC 14159 DNA, contig: PA6009.